UACGUAGGGUGCGAGCGUUGUCCGGAAUUAUUGGGCGUAAAGAGCUCGUAGGCGGUCUGUCGCGUCGAUCGUGAAAACUUGGGGCUUAACCCUGAGCUUGCGGUCGAUACGGGCAUGACUGGAGUUCGGCAGGGGAGACUGGAAUUCCCGGUGUAGUGGUGAAAUGCGUAGAUAUCGGGAGGAACACCAGUGGCGAAGGCGACUUUCUGGCCUGUUCUUGACGCUGAGGCGCGAAAGCUAGGGGAGCAAACGGGG
rnacentral:rRNA from 1 species